rnacentral:rRNA from 1 species
UACGAACUGUGCGAACGUUAUUCGGAAUCACUGGGCUUACAGGGUGCGUAGGCGGCUAUUCAAGUCAGGCGUGAAAGCCCCGGGCUCAACCUGGGAACCGCGCUUGAGACUGGCACGCUCGAGUUCGGGAGAGGAUGGUGGAAUUCCCAGUGUAGAGGUGAAAUUCGUAGAUAUUGGGAAGAACACCGAUGGCGAAGGCAGCCAUCUGGACCGACACUGACGCUGAGGCGCGAAAGCGUGGGGAGCAAACAGG